GAUGAACGCUAGCGGCAGGCUUAACACAUGCAAGUCGAGGGGCAGCAUGACACGGAGAUUCGUCGAAGUGUUGAUGGCGACCGGCGCAAGGGUGCGUAACGCGUGAGCAACUUGCCCGUUUCAGGGGGAUAACCGGUGGAAACGCCGACUAAUACCCCAUAGUAUGUUUUUAAGGCAUCUUUUAAACAUUAAAGAACUUCGGAAACGGAUAGGCUCGCGUGACAUUAGCUAGAUGGCGGGUAACGGCCCACCAUGGCGACGAUCUUUAGGGGUUCUGAGAGGAAGGUCCCCCACACUGGUACUGAGACACGGACCAGACUCCUACGGGAGGCAGCAGUGAGGAAUAUUGGUCAAUGGGCGGAAGCCUGAACCAGCCAAGUAGCGUGAAGGAUUACAGCCCUACGGGUUUUAAACUCUUUUGCAAGGGAGCAAUAAGGCGUACGUGUACGUCGAUGAGAGUACCUUGCGAAUAAGCAUCGGCUAACUCCGUGCCAGCAGCCGCGGU
rnacentral:rRNA from 1 species